GAUGAACGCUAGCGGCAGGCCUAAUACAUGCAAGUCGAACGGUGUCUUCGGACAUAGUGGCGCACGGGUGCGUAGCACGUAUGCAACCUACCUUACACUGGGGGAUAGCCUUUCGAAAGGGAGAUUAAUACCGCAUAAGACAGUAGCUGGGCAUCCAGCAGCUGUUAAAGAUUUAUCGAUGUAAGAUGGGCAUGCGUCCAAUUAGCUAGUUGGUGAGGUAACGGCUCACCAAGGCAAUGAUUGGUAGGGGAACUGAGAGGUCAAUCCCCCACACUGGCACUGAGAAACGGGCCAGACUCCUACGGGAGGCAGCAGGAGGGAAUAUUGGGCAAUGGACGCAAGUCUGACCCAGCCAUGCCGGGGGCAGGAUGAAGGCGUUAUGCGUUGUAAACUGCUUUUAUACAGGAAGAAACGACUCUUGCGAGAGGCAUUGACGGUACUGUAUGAAUAAGCACCGGCUAACUCCGUGCCAGCAGCCGCCGUAACAC
rnacentral:rRNA from 1 species